rnacentral:lncRNA from 1 species
GUCAUCCUCAAUGAACAGAUGGUCGGCUCGUAGAGUCUGCCACGCAUAUAUGAUCCCCAUCCAAGUGGCCCAAAGCUCCGCUUCAGAAAUUAUACAAGCUCAAAAAACAAAAAGAAAACUAACAUUUCAUAUUACAUUGUUCUCCUCUUGAUAGCAAGCCGAUCAACCACCAUGUUAGCUUCACAAUAAAUAUCUAUGAUCUGAUAAUCCUCAAAAUUGAAAAG